AGAGAUGUAACUCAGUGGGAAAGCAUCUGCUUUGCAUGCGGAAGGUGCCAGGUUCAAAUUCUGGCAUUUCUA